rnacentral:lncRNA from 1 species
UUUCAAUAGACUGUAGGGUACUUGAAUGACUCCUAGAAUCACUUUAUUCAUUUGAUGCCUUAAUUUUGUUCUUGAGCACUGAUCUUUUUAUAAUGGAAUGCUUCCUGUGUCUCUGUCCACAUUUAGUUCAUUUGUGGGUUGCAUUUCUAAAUGUUACCUCUGUGUCAGGGACUCUCAAAUUCCAGGGCAUGUCUCUGUAGUUUCUGUUUCUUCUUGGUUUUCUAAUAGGCAUUAGUUCUGUUACUUUAUAGUACUUCCUACUGAACAACCAUAUGUGCAAAUAUCACACUCUAGAGAUAGCAUGACUUGCCUCCAGUUUCACUUGAUGGUUGAGGGAGAGAUUACAGGAUUUUCAAGUGAAGAGAGAAGGGCUGGAGCUGAUUUGAUAGUGAUUGUUCUAAUCUGCUCUGGGACUUUAGGAUAGCAGUUUUAGUUACUGCCUUUCAGGAACCACUGUAGCAUGAAACAAAACUCUGUAAUUCCUAAUGGUAACAUGGUGGUCUGGUGAGUAAUUGUUGAAAGAUGUGCUCUGUUUUGGUGGGCUGGUUAGUUUUCAUCAGUUUAACACAAACUUGAGUCACUGAGAGGGAGAGAAUCUCCCGAGUUCUGGGAUUAAAGGCGUGUGCCACCACUAUUGCUGGCUGUUUUAGGGUUAUUAUUGCAGUAACUUAGGGAGGAAAGGGUCUUUUUGGCUCAUGUGUCCACAUUAUGUCAUUGUUCAUCAUUGAAGGAAUCAAGACAGGAGUUCAAAUAUAUGGUAGCUGAACAAAUCAGUAAGCAGAAUUUUUCUAUGGUCUUUGCUUCAGUUUCUGCCUUGGGUUCCAUUAGUGGUAAAGUGUGUCAUGGAAGUGUAAGCUGAAGUAAACCCUUUCCUCUCCCUGGUAGGAGAAAGUCAUCACCCAGAGCAGAGCUUAUCCUCAGAGUUAGAUUAUCUUCAGGGAACCCCCCCUUUUUUUUUCUAUUGGGUUUCCUAUGGCAUUGUAUGACUUCUGAAAUGCUGACUGACCAGGAAUGGGCCUCACAAAGCCAAGAAGCCCAAUUUUUGCCUCAACCAUUGCAUUUUGAAGGAUUCUUUACUAAUGACACACAUGUAUUGGUUAGCCUUACAAUGUGUAGCUGAGCUCCAUUUGUAGUGACUCCCUAGAGAGAAAUGCACCAAAAAAACCCCUUCUGGUGGUGGUCUGACAGAAUCCAUGCUUCAGUCAUGAUGUGUUUGUUUAUAAAACUGAUCAGGUUCAGAUUGUACCAGUAAUGGAGGUUGGAGACAGAUGCCCUUAGCUUUCUUAACUUGCCUAAGCCGGGCUUUUUACUAGCCAACAUCCAGUUCUUCUUACAGUUUCCCACUUUGGAUUCUUUCUUGACUUAAGUUCAUUUCUUCUUUUUCUUCUCCCGUGUAUGUGGUAUAUGUGUGCAUAUUUGCAUAUGUGUGAGUGCAUGUGUGUCUGGAGACCCCUUGUGUGUGUGUAUGGAAGUGUGUGUGAGUAGAGGCCCAAGAUUGACUUUAGGAAUCUUGAAGUGGAAACUUAUGGUUUCUUUGGAAAAUCAGUUGUGUCAGAUGGUGUUUUGCUUGGGCAAACACAUGAAAGAGUGUUUUUUUUUUUUUUAAGCAGACACCGGUGAAAGGAUGUUUUGCAAAAGCAAGCAUUUUGAAGGAUUCUUUACUAAUGACACACAUGUAUUGGUUAGCCUUACAAUGUGUAGCUGAGCUCCAUUUGUAGUGACUCCCUAGAGAGAAAUGCACCAAAAAAAAACCCCUUCUGGUGGUGGUCUGACAGCUUCUUACAGCUUUCAUGAACUUGGCCAAUUGGCAGAGUGAUCUCAGCUGUUGCACACUCACAUGCUGACGCAAGACCCGUGGAGGACACAUGAUGUUUGGAGGGAGUAUAAAUAGGACUCAGUGGACAGUGAUGAGGCUUGCAUAGCUAGCUUUGCAAUGCUUCUUGGUCUUGUGUCUUCACUAAUCUUUCUUUGAACAGUAGAGGAAUUCUCCUGGCAUCCCUGCUGGCCCUGGUCACUCCCACUGAUUUGUGCCAAUUCGGCAGAGGCCUAGCUGUUUCUGCUGGGUAGUGCCACCACUGCUGAUUUGUGUUUGCUAUCCUGACAUUAUUGAGCUGGACUGCUGGUAUGUUUGUGAAGUAUUUGCGAGUGGACUGACAUGGAAC